rnacentral:rRNA from 1 species
UACGUAGGGUGCAAGCGUUAAUCGGAAUUACUGGGCGUAAAGCGUGCGCAGGCGGUUCUGCAAGUCUGACGUGAAAUCCCCGGGCUCAACCUGGGAAUUGCGUUGGAGACUGCAAGGCUGGAGUCUGGCAGAGGGGGGUAGAAUUCCACGUGUAGCAGUGAAAUGCGUAGAGAUGUGGAGGAACACCGAUGGCGAAGGCAGCCCCCUGGGUCAAGACUGACGCUCAUGCACGAAAGCGUGGGGAGCAAACAGG